CGAUUGCAUUUUCAUUCAGAGGUGUAUUGUUGGCAAAGACCCCCUAAACCCAUCUACCGGAUCAAGAUAAGAAUCCACUGCUUGAUCUACUAAAGAAUGAACAGAGUCAAGUUCAUAUUUGCAUUUCCAGUACACUUAAGGCUUUCACGGUGUCUUGAUUUUUUAGGCAAAUACUUGUCUUUUUUGCGCUCCAUCAAAUGGCAUUGGGGCUCUUCAAACUCAUAGCAUCACGUGGUCGGAAUAUGAUCAUCUCACAAACAUUUGGCUCAUUUGCUUUAGUUGUUGUGUUUGUUCUUGGAGGAUUUAUGAUUUCUCGAUGCCAUGCAUACUCACUAGAGAGAAAAGAAAGUUCGAAUUCUGAAUUCCAUUCUACCCAUGAUAGAGAACUCUUUGAACUCCAAGCCUCGGUACCUCAAAAGAAAGGAAUGGUCCUUCCUUUCCAACCACUAUUAAUGGCUUUUGUAAACAUCAACUACUAUGUUGACAUGCCAGAGGUAUAUACCCGAUGCAUCAUGAGCAAUAUAUGGGGUGCUAAAGGAAAUUGUGCAAGUGUGUUCUCUAAAAAGACCAAGAUAUGGUGAUGAUUAUGAUGAAAUACUUGAGAAAGUAACAUCUUGGGAGAUUAUAGAACAAACUAUUAGAGAUAAACUCUCCCAAUUUUGACUAUUUUGGGGUUUUGGGUGUUUUGGAUUCAAAAUGAAGAUAUGUAUUUGUGUAUAUUAUUUUUCCUUGAAUGACAACACAGUCAAGAUCUAUGUCAACAAAGUCAAAUUUGUAGUCAUUACCAAACAGAGAUACAAAGCAUUCAUCUCAGAGCAAUGAUAGUGGUAUCCACAUAUAGUCAAUAGUGUGUAGAAAACGAUACCUUGAUUAUCCUUUGAACUUUGGAAACCUCCAAGUUUUCAUAUCAUAGGAAUUAUUUGUGCAUAUAAUGUGUCAAUAGAUAGAUUAAGGGGUGAUCCAUACUAAAUCGUUUCAUUGGUAGUGAAAUUGAGGACCUUUAAGUACCCUACCUUCCCAUAAGAGGACAAGGGUUUUUUGCUAUAAAAUUUUUA